rnacentral:rRNA from 1 species
UGGUCAAGUUAUUAAGAGCUGCUGGUGGAUGCCUUGGCAUCGACAGGCGAUGAAGGACGCGCUUACCUGCGAUAAGCAUCGGGGAGUCGGAAAGAGGCUUUGAUCCGGUGAUGUCCGAAUGGGGAAACCCGGCGAGAGUAAUUUCUCGUCAUCUUUAAACUGAAUACAUAGGUUUAAGGAAGCAAUACUUACCGAAGUGAGACAUCUCAGUAGGUAAAGGAAAAGAAAUCAAACGAGAUUCCCUUAGUAGCGGCGAGCGAAGUGGGAAUAGCCCAAACCGAGAAUUUAUUCUCGGGGUUGUAGGGCCGACCGAUAUGGACGACGAAACUUAACAGAACUGCAUGGAAAGGCAGGGGAUACAGGGUGAAACCCCCGUAUGUGAAAAGUUUAGUUCUCCUAGGACGGUUCCUGAGUAGGUCCGGACACGUGAAACCCGGUCUGAAUCUGGGGAGACCACUCUCCAAGGCUAAAUACUCGUCGAUGACCGAUAGUGUACCAGUACAGUGAUGGAAAGGUGAAAAGAACCCCUGUUAGGGGAGUGAAAUAGAAUCUGAAACCAGCAGCUUACAAGCGGUCAGAGGCCUAUGGUCCUUUUAGGACAAAGGCUGAUGGCGUGCCUUUUGCAUGAUGAGCCAGCGAGUUACGCUAUAUGGCAAGGUUAAGGAAUUACGUUCCGGAGCCGAAGCGAAAGCGAGUGUGAAUAGCGCGUAUAGUCAUAUGGUGUAGACACGAAGCCGAGUGAUCUAUCCAUGGCCAGGUUGAAGCAAGGGUAAUACCUUGUGAAGGACCGAACCAGUACACGUUGAAAAGUGUUUGGAUGAGCUGUGGAUAGGGGUGAAAGGCCAAUCAAACUCGGGAAUAUCUUGUUCUCUCCGAAAUAACUUUAGGGUUAGCCUCAAGUAUUAAUCUUGCGGGGGUAGAGCACUGGAUCUCUAAGGGGGCUUACCGGCCUACCAAAGAGAACCAAACUCCGAAUACUGCAAGUGAGCUUGGGAGAUAGACUGCGGGGGAUAAGCUUCGUAGUCGAAAGGGGAACAGCCCAGACCGCCGAUUAAGGCCCCUAAUUCUAUGCUAAGUGAGUAAGGAAGUGAAGUUUCAAAGACAGUUGGGAUGUUGGCUUAGAGGCAGCCAUCAUUUAAAGAGUGCGUAACAGCUCACCAAUCGAGAGACUUUGCGCCGAAAAUUAUCGGGACUAAAGCAUAGAGCCGAAAUCGCGGGUUUGUACUUUCGAGUAUAAGCGGUAGGAGAGCGUAGUAUAGGCAUUGAAGGUGUAUCGAAAGAAGCGCUGGAGCGUAUACUAGUGAGGAUGCAUGGCAUGAGUACACGAUAAAAGGAGUGAGAAUCUCCUUCGCCGAAAACCUAAGGUUUCCAGGGUAAAGCUCGUCUUCCCUGGGUUAGCCGGUCCCUUAGUCGAGGCUGAAGAGCGUAGAUGAUGGGAAGCAGGUUAAAUAUUCCUGCGCCACCUAAAACUAUGGUGAUUGGACUGACGAAGAAAAUGAAGUAUGCGGACUGUUGGUUAUGUCCGUUUUGCUAUGAAGUGGGCCAGAUUGGAAAAUCCGCUGGCAUAAAACCAGGUAGUAAACAAGUGGAACCUUCGGGGGAAGCGAUGAUAUGGAAUAACCUUCCAAGAAAGAAGUUCUAGCCGUUGAUGGUGACCGUACCAAAACCGACACAGGUAGGUGGGAUGAAUAUUCUAAGGCGCGCGAGAGAAUCCUCGUUAAGGAACUCGGCAAACUAUCCCCGUAACUUCGGGAGAAGGGGAGCCGCUUGGGGUUAGAUACUUCGCGUAUCAAAGCUCUGGGCGGCCGCAGAGAAUCGGUCCAGGCGACUGUUUAGCAAAAACACAGCACUAUGCAAACACGUUUUAGUGGAAGUAUAUGGUGUGAUGCCUGCCCAAUGCCAAAAGGUCAAUAGGAGAUGUUAGUUCUUCGGAGCGAAGCAUUGAAUUUAAGCCCUGGUGAAUGGCGGCCGUAACUAUAACGGUCCUAAGGUAGCGAAAUUCCUUGUCGGGUAAGUUCCGACCUGCACGAAUGGCGUAACGAUCUGGACGCUGUCUCAACGAGGAACUCGGUGAAAUUGUAGUAGCGGUGAAGAUGCCGUUUACCCGCAGCUAGACGAAAAGACCCCGUGAACCUUUACUGUACUCUGAUAUUGGCUUUUGACUUUUCAUGUGUAGGAUAGCCGGGAGAUUAUGAAGCGGGCUCGUCAGGGCUUGUGGAAUCAUCCUUGAAAUACCGGUCUUGGAAAGUUGGAAAUCUAACGAAGUCCCAUGAAUCUGGGAUUCGAACAGUGUCAGACGGGCAGUUUGACUGGGGCGGUUUCCUCCUAAAGAGUAACGGAGGAGUUCAAAGCUUGUCUCAUCGCGGUUGGCAAUCGCGAGUAGAGCGUAAACGUAUAAGACAAGUUGACUGUGAGACGGACAUGUCGAGCAGGUACGAAAGUAGGAGUUAGUGGUCCGGCGGUAGAAAGUGGAAUCGCCGUCGCUUAACGGAUAAAAGGUACUCCGGGGAUAACAGGCUUAUCGCAUCCAAGAGUUCAUAUCGACGAUGCGGUUUGGCACCUCGAUGUCGACUCAUCGCAUCCUGGGGCUGGAGAAGGUCCCAAGGGUUUGGCUGUUCGCCAAUUAAAGCGGUACGCGAGUUGGGUUCAAAACGUCGUGAGACAGUUUGGUUUCUAUCUGCUGUGGGCGCAGGAUACUUGAGGAGAGCUGCUUCUAGUACGAGAGGACCGAAGUGGACAAACCAAUGGUGUUCCGGUUGUUCUGCCAAGAGCAUUGCCGGGUAGCUACGUUUGGAAAGGAUAAGCGUUGAAAGCAUCUAAACGCCAAGCCUCCUCCAAGAUAAGGUAUCCCAAUCAGACUCCUUGAAGACUACAAGGUUGAUAGGCUGGAGGUGUAAGCACAGCAAUGUGUUCAGCUUACCAGUACUAAUAAGUCGAUUGACUUGAUCACUUUUCUUU